rnacentral:rRNA from 1 species
UACGUAGGGGGCAAGCGUUGUCCGGAUUUAUUGGGCGUAAAGAGCUCGUAGGCGGUCUGUUGCGUCGGCUGUGAAAACCCGGGGCUCAACUCCGGGCCUGCAGCCGAUACGGGCAGACUAGAGUUCGGCAGGGGAGACUGGAAUUCCUGGUGUAGCGGUGAAAUGCGCAGAUAUCAGGAGGAACACCGAUGGCGAAGGCAGCUCGCUGGGACGGUACCGACGCUGAGGCGCGAAAGCGUGGGGAGCAAACAGG